rnacentral:rRNA from 1 species
CGGCGGACGGGUGAGUAACGCGUGGGUAACCUGCCUCAUACAGGGGGAUAACAGUUAGAAAUGACUGCUAAUACCGCAUAAGACCACGGUACCGCAUGGUACAGUGGUAAAAACUCCGGUGGUAUGAGAUGGACCCGCGUCUGAUUAGGUAGUUGGUGAGGUAACGGCCCACCAAGCCGACGAUCAGUAGCCGACCUGAGAGGGUGACCGGCCACAUUGGGACUGAGACACGGCCCAG